CCUACGGGAGGCAGCAGUGGGGAAUAUUGGACAAUGGGGGAAACCCUGAUCCAGCGACGCCGCGUGAGUGAAGAAGUAUUUCGGUACGUAAAGCUCUAUCAGCAGGAAAGAAAAUGACGGUACCUGACUAAGUAGUCCCGGCUAACUACGUGCAAGCAGCCGCGGGAAUACGGAGGGGGCACGCGUUAUCCGGAUUUACUGGGUGUAAAGGGAGCGUAGACGGCAGGGCAAGUCUGGUGUGAAAUGCCGGGGCUCAACCCCGGAACUGCACUUGAAACUGGCAAGCUGGAGUGCAGUAGAGGUAAGCGGAAUUCCUGGUGUAGCGGUGAAAUGCGUAGAUAUCAGGAGGAACACCGGCGGCGAAGGCGGCUUACUGGACUGUAACUGACGUUGAGGCUCGAAGGCGUGGGGAGCAAACAGGAUUAGAUACCCUAGUAGUC
rnacentral:rRNA from 1 species